AUGGUCGCACGCUCCUCCGCGGCCCAAUCGUCGCCGCCGCCGGGGAUCCUCGAGCACCAUCAUCCUGGCACGCAGUCCAUGGACGCCUCCCCACGCAGUCCCUUUCUUGCUGCCGACGCGAAUCCUGUCAAUCCCUUCCUCUUCUCCUUCUCUUCCUCAAGUGAUCUUUGCUGGAUCCUGCCGCCGUCAACACCAGGCAUCCGAACCCCGGCCCUGCACUCCAUCGCCGCGCCCUGUCUUCUUCUCGCUGCGGCUGCUCCACAUCGCACCUAUCUGCCCAGCAAAAUGCUGCACUUUUGGUGCAAAACCGUCAAAGAUGAACUCAACAAUCUCCGAGGCGACGGCACAACCAGAAAGUACGAGGAGUGGGACCGUGUGUACCGCUAUAACUACAACAACGACCUCGGUGAGCCGGACAAGGGCUAUCCGCGCCCAGUUCUCGGCGGCACCCAAGAACUCCCCUAUCCCCGUCGUUGCAGAACUAGCCGACCCCCAACAAAAACAGACCCUAGAUCGAAGAGGAGAAUUCCUCACUACAAGAUACAGGAGGCCCUCGACAUCACUGUCCCGCGUGAUGGUAUUUAUGCAUCUUCCUAG
rnacentral:rRNA from 1 species